GAGGGGAGGAGCCGAGCGGCGUUCGCGGGAGGCAGCUUCCUCGACCUUCAGGCGCCCGGAGACAAGCGGGAGGACAGGAAUCUCUAAAGAGUGAGAGGAAAACUGAUGGCAGGCACUGCCCAAAGAAGAUGGAACUGUCAUAGUUGUUUUUGUUUAGGAUCUGCUUACCCCCCUGAGAACAUAAGCUUGAUGAAGGCAAGGACCGUUUCUAUCACUGUUGAAUCCCAGUUCCUGGUACAGUGCCUGGCACAUAGUGGAUGGUCAAUGGAUUUAUGAAUGAAUGAACAAAUUAACAAACAACCAUGGGGUGUGUGAAGAGCAGUAAAAAGACUGGACUAUUUGGAAAGAAGUGUCUUUCCUUGAGGAGUAGAGGAAUCUCUGAUUCUCCAACAGACUGGCAGAGGAACAAGUAAAUGGGCCUGCAUGGGAUUCAAAACACAGGGGCAAGUGGAACCAGCUGAACAAGAUAACAAUAGAGGUGAAGCCUAACCCUGGAAACCAGUCAAGAUUUCCAAAGAUAAACCCUCGGGCAGCAAGAACACUGUCAAUGAAAAGAAACUGACCUUUCGCCUUCUGGAGUCACAGAAUUCCCACAAAUGCUGUGUCCUCAUCAGCUCUGGCAGCCUCGCCACCACAGCCCAGACUUCGACGCCAAUUCAUAAACAGCACGGAGGGGGCUGUGCUAGAAGUCAGAGCUUCUCCACCUCCAGCACCUCAAAAUACAGGCUCCCUGCCACCCCAUUUUCUUCUAGAGGUUAACCUUCUCCCCAGGCUCACAAAGUUAUGAGAGCCUUUAAGGGGUUUUCCUCUGACAGUGUGGUCUAGUCUGCUGCUGCUGAAGAGACCUCAGGAUGGUCCCUAGGCUUUGUGAUUCAAAAUAAGGAGACCGGAUAAACAGAGACAAGACUGAAGAGGCAGAAGGAAAGGAGGAGAUGAACAAAAGACAGAACAGAAGAAAUGGAAAGUGAGGGGUUAAGACAGUGAGGAGCUCCAGAGCUGAUGAAAUGUAAGAAUCAGGCUCUGAGCUACUGUGCUGGGAUACCAAGAUGAGUAGGCCAUGGUCCCUGCCUUCAGGAAGUUAAAGUCUGGUGAGAGAGACAGAGAAGUCUACACAAUUUUCAUACCUAUGUUAACUGCUACAACAGAGAUAUCUCAUUCGGUAGAUAUUUAUUAACAAUUUACAAGUUUUAGGCACUAGGAAUGUUACAGUGAGCUAGACAGACACAAGCUCUACCUUAAUGGAGCUCAUGUCCAAUGGGAGGCCCAAGUUACAAGGGACACAGAAGAGGGGGCCCGAAUUCAAACUGAGAAUCAUCAGUAAAGGACUCCCGAAGGUUCUGAAGCUUCCACUGAAUCAUUUUGUUUUGUUUUGUUUUGUUUUUUAAAUUUUUGUCUGUGUUGGGUCUUCGUUGCUGUGCACGGGCUUUCUCUAGUUGCGGUGAGUGGGGGGCUACUCUUUGUUGCAGUGCGCGGGGCUCCUCAUUGUCGUGGCUUCUCAUCACGGAGCACGGGCUCUAGGCGCGCAGGCUUCAGUAGUUGUGGCACACGGG